rnacentral:rRNA from 1 species
UACGUAGGGGGCGAGCGUUGUCCGGAGUUACUGGGCGUAAAGGGCAUGCAGGCGGUCUGGCGCGUUUUGUGUGACAGCGGGUGGCUCAACUGCCCGAGCAUACGAAAGACGGCUGGACUUGAGGGCGCGAGAGGGACACGGAAUUCCGGGUGGAGUGGUGAAAUGCGUAGAGAUCCGGAGGAACACCGAAGGCGAAGGCAGUGUCCUGGCGCGUGUACCUGACGCUGAGGUGCGAAAGCCAGGGG